rnacentral:rRNA from 1 species
GGUAGCAUAAUCAUUAGUUUAUUAAUUGUGGACUUGAAUGAAUGGUUAGACAAAAUAUUAACUGUCUCAAAUAUUUAAUAUUUAGAAUUUAAAAUUUUAGUUAAAAUGCUUAAAUUUUUUUAAAGGACGAGAAGACCCUAUAGAUCUUUAUUAUUAUUAAAUUUAUUGUUUUUGGUUUAUUUUAUUUGUAAGUUAAAAGAUUUUUUAGUUGGGGUGACGUUGAGAUAUAAUUAACUCUUUAUUUUUAUAUUCAAUUAUUUUUGUUUUAAUGACCUUUUAUUAUUGUUUUAAGAUAUAGAUACCUUAGGGAUAACAGCGUAAUUCUUUUUGAGAGUCCUUAUCGACAAAGGAGAUUGCGACCUCGAUGUUGGAUUAAGAUUAUAGUUAGGUGAAGGUGCUUAAAUAUUAAGUCUGUUCGACUUUUAAAAUCUUACAUGAUCUGA